rnacentral:lncRNA from 1 species
AAAGUGCCCCUUAGGGUUAAAUGAACAAAAUGAAGCCCAUGGAGUGCAAUAGAGGGGCAACUUUGGAGCCCUUUUUACACUUUAACUCGUACACUCCGUAUGUUGCAUUCAAAAUACUCAAAAGCAUCCAUCUUCAUGAUCAUGCUUGUAUCAUCCUCUCCAUCUUGAGAGGAAAUUGACCUCAAAUUCACGGCACAAACCAAAUGAUAAUGGCUCCCAAAAUAGUCCACAAAAUAAGGAGAAACCGAGGACAUAACAACUUCAAGUCUCGGCCAAUAUCUUCAUUUUGCACCUUAACUUUCUCUCCAUCUUGAGAUUUUCCUUCAAUCUUAUUUGGCUCAAUUGAGUUUCAUCCCCGGCCAAGAUAACACUAGGAAUGUUGUUAUUUAUUAUAGCCAAGAAGUUACCUACAAAACACAAAUAAAUUAGUUGUACAAGAAAGGUCCUCACACUCUCCCUUUAUUUCUUUAUCUCUCGGAUUCCUCACACUUUAAUUUCACAAGUGUUGUAAGCUUGAUUGUACUCUGGGAGGUGUUGAGAGGUGAACCAAAUGUUUAUAAGGACUCAAAAAGAGACUAAGACGUACAAAGGAAUGUAGACACGAAGAAGGGUUUUCAAAACUAAUUUACAAUCAGUAAAUGGUCACUAGUUUGUAAAUUAGUUUUGGAAUCAACAAACGAAACUAAAGAACAACAAAUUGAAACUAGAAGAUCAAAAUUUGAGCCAAAAUUUGUUGCGUGAAUAGUAUAUAUGAUGACAUGGCAGUUUACAAUUGGUCACGUCCCACAUAAUUUGUUCAUCACUUGAAGUCUUAAUCUUUACAUAAUUUUUUGUAAUGACUUGAUAUUAGAGGAAAAGUAAAGUCUUGUAACCUUUCAACUUUUCAAACUCAAAAGGUGAGAUUUGACUUUACUAGUCCCACUAGACAAGGUCCCUUGUUUUAAGGAAAGUUGUUGGAAAAUAGUUGAUAAAGUUUUUGGUGGUUGUAGUGUAUUUCAAGACUAACAAGUCACACCCCCUUUUUCCUUCACCUUUAUGGAUCAAAUAAACACUUUAUUUUAACAAGACAUAAAGGUUAUGAAGAAUAUCAAGAACUACAACAACAUUCCCCAAGAACAACAACAAACUUCAAGAACAACCAAUAACAUCCAACUUCCAAGUCCAAAUCCAUAGCAACAACACAAGGCCAAGCUUAGAACAACAAUAACAUCACAAGACCAAGGUGAAAACUACAACAAAUGUAAGCUCAAAUCAAGAUAUAGACUUAAUGUGUUAGUGAGGAACAAAACUAACACUUAGAGACAACAAAGACAAGUAAAAAUCUCGGCCAAGACAUAACAAGAACACAGAUUUUGGCCAAGAACAAAACACGGAUAGAUUGCUCUUUUUUUGGAAUUUUCAAUUUUCAACAUUUUUUUUAAUUUUUCAACUAACAAGCUCAAGAUUAAUCUUUUGGGAAUAAGAUCAAGCUAUGCUUUGAUACCAAAUGAUACAAGAAGACCAAGGAACACAAGAAAAGGCUCAAAACAGUCUACAAAUCAAGAGAAAUCCGAGGAACCCUUUAAGAGCUAGUUUCGGCCAAACAACAACACAAGAAUACAAGGAAACAAGGUGCAUUUAUACACCAAAACAGCCACGAAAACAUGAAAAACACAAGAAGAUAGACAACAAUAUGAUAAGGAUAAUAACAACAAGAAGCAGUUACAAGAUACAUAAACAACAAGAACCAACGGUUUCCCUAAACACUAACUAAGACAUGAAAUAUAGAGACAGAUAGUGAGACAUACACUAUAAUAAGACCGAAGAACCCAAAGAUAUAUUAAAUCUAAGGACCCCUAGAACUUACUAUAGCAACACCACACUCUUACGAAAACAUGAGAGGGAUUCCACCGCUCAAGCACCAUCGUUUCCAAGCAAUACAUAUUCACAAGUAAAUCUACACUUGCCCAUGUCCUAGUUUUGACCUAGGGAGCCUCUCUCUCUCAAGAGAUGUGUUCUAUCAUCAACAUUCAACAACAAAUGAGCUAAAACCCUAAUAUGUUCUAUUUAUAGACUUAUUACAAUAAGAGACAAAAUGACAAAAGUCCCCUUAGUGUUAAAUGAACAAAAUGGAGCCCAUGGAGUGCAAUAAAAGAGAGAUUUUAGAGCCUUUUUUACACUUCAACUCGUACACUCCGUAUGUUGCAUUUAAAAUACUCAAAAGCAUCCAUCUUCAUGAUCGUGCUUAUAUCGUUUUCUACCUCCUUUCUCCUCUCUAGGAAGAGCAUUCCUAUCCUCCCUAGUUGUACCUUUUAUAGCUACUACACUAAAGAUAUCCCUCAUGUCUUCUUUGAUUUCCUCAUCAUCAAAGAUUUUUAGGCUACCCUUCUCCUUAAGGAGGAAAUACCCAUGAUAUUGAUAUAGGCAAACUCCACCCUAUCAACUGGUCAAAUACCUGGUCCAAUCUGAAAAAUACUAAAUAUGAUCAUAUACUCAACUGGCACACCAUUCUUAUUUUCAGCCUUCGGGGUCUUUGAAAAAACGAGAAUAGGAAUGUGUUCGACAAGAAAAGAGAGAAACCAACCUUUCAACAGAUUUAUGGUAAAGCAGUGGAAUAUCUUCAUUUGGCCUCUAGAAAUAAGCCCACCCUGACCUACAAAGUGAUUGACAUCAAGUGGAACCCCCUCCCUCCCAAGAAAACUACUUUAAGCUUAAUACUGAUGGCUCUUGUCUUGGGAACUCGGGUAAGGGGGGCAUUGGAGAGCGGGUAGUGAGAAAUAAUACGGGGGGCUAGAUCAAGGGUUUUUCUAAAGGAUACCCUUGGACCACUAACAACCACAUGGAACUUCUAUCCCUCGGGGAAGGCUUGGAACUAGUUGAAGAAUUCAGCCAAACUCCUACCGAAAUUAACAUUGAUUCUCUCAAAGUUCUAAAUAUGUUGUCAUCAGAUAAUCUAUUAUAUAAUGAUAUUAUUGAUGAUUCCAGGACAAAGCGAAGAAGCCUAGGAAACUUGAAGGUGCUCCACUGCUAUAGAGAGAGCAAAAUGGAAUUCCUGAUGCACUGGCCAAGUGGGGGGCGAAUUUGGAUAUUCAACUAGAUAGAAUGCUAUUUGAAGUUCCACCGAUGUGUGCUCACAAAGCAGUGUGGACAGACAUUGCAGGAACUUAUUUUGCUAGAUCAAUCAAGACUUGUAAUAAUUAUUCCCACGAAGAAAUUCCAAGUUAUUUUGUGUUAAACCCCUACUGAUUAAAUGGGGCAAAGAUUUGAUUUAUUAUUUUCCUUACUACAACUCCAGUUAACCAAAAAAAUAUUUUUAUUACAAGUGUUUGAAUAGGUUCUUGAAAUACAUGUCAGAAAUGACAUUCAAAAAUGAGUGAAUUUUAUAUUUGUAUUUUUAUAUUCUUACACUUGUAUAAAUAUUAAUCAUAGUGAGAUCUUUAUUCUUGGGGUGUUGGAUGGGGAUAUUCUUUAUUUACGCAAUCCUCAUUACGCGUUUAGGAAAAUUUAGGUUGUUAAUAUUUAUAUUAAAUUAAAUUAGAUAUUUAAUCAAAUAAUUCACGCUUUUUAUACUAAAAUAUUACGUAAUCUUUCUUUAGAAUAAAUUUUUCUUUAUUCAAUCUUUUUAUAUUUUCGUACAUAUUCUCAUGUACUUUUAUUUAUCUUCAUACAUUUUUUAUAUGGAUAUUUUUUAAGAUAACAUAUUCAAUUCACACAUUCUUUAUAUAUGAAUUGUUUAUAUCAUCUUAAUACACAUUUUAUAUUUGUAUUUACAAACAUUGAUUUUUUUUUCCUUGUUUAAUAAACCUAAGUCUGGUCGAAAACCACAUUUGUGGAUUCUGAAGGAUGCCUAACUUUUUUCCUUCGGAAUAAUUUGAACCCUUAUCUAGAAUCUAAAUUGAUUUUGUGGAUUAAAAUAAAAUCAUACUGGUUAAUAAAUAAAUAGGUUUUCUCAUUUUCCUUAAAAAUUAGGUGGUGACUCUGUAUAAAAAUCAAUUCUUUUUUAGUCCAUAAUAUCGUGCUUGUUUUAACCUUAGGUAAAAAUAGGGUAUAACAUAAGGCUCCUCACAAACUGCAGCAGAUCUAUAGAUGCAUCCCAACAAUCAUAAUGUGUACUUUGUGGAAGAUAAGAAACAAUAGAAAAUAUGGAGAAGAUACCAAUUUUUUGUGGUGUAUCAAAUUCAGGACCUGAUCAGGAAGCUGGUAAACACUUUAUAUCCAUGAAUCAAAUUACAGAUUUGGAAUUGGCCUGAGGUGGUGGAGAAAAUGAGAAACUAUACCCCUGAGUUGCAUUAUCAGAAGGUGGUGUGGAAAAUGUCAGAAAUAAAUAAGCUGAAAUGUAACACUGGUGGAGCAUGUAGCGGAAAUCCAGGAUGGAGCUCAAUAAGUUUUUGCAUAAGUAAUGGAAAGGGUGAACUAAUUUAUGCUAGAUCACAACAAAUAGGAUGGAGUACCAAUAUGGAGGUAGAGUCAAGAGCAAUAGAGGAAGCAUUGAAUUAUUGUCAGGAAAAGGAGCUAGUGGAGAUCACUUUAGAGACAGAUUCUCUAAUCCUAGCUAACAUGAUUACAAUACAAUGGCAAGUCCCAUGAGAGUUAAUAGAAAUAGGUGAAAAUAUCAGACAUAUCAUUUAAUUAAUAAGAGCAAGCAUAACAAAUACAUUCAGGGAAGGGAACAUGGUGGAAAAUUAAUUAGCUAAUGAAACUAUUGAAAAUCAACUGUUAAAGGAAAACAAUAGUUUCACACAGCUAGCCUGCAGAGCCAAGGGUUUGAUUAGCAUGGACAGGGCUCAAGUUCCAAAUCUAAGGAUCAGAAGCAAAGCAAUUAAAAGCAACAUAUUUCAGCAUGCAUAACUAUUAUAUUUCACAUAACAGACGAGACAGGGAGAAGGUAAUUAAUUUACAAUCUAGAGAUGCAGAAAGGAAAUCAACAACCACAUAGCCCAUAAAUUUACAAAGUAUAUCUAAAAUAAGACAUGGCUGUGAAAUUACAAGCUAAAAAACAAGUUUCAACCAUCAAAAAAACUCACCAAAAAACAAGGGUAGAAGGGUCCUGCAUUCAAAGGAGAGAGCAGCAACCAUAUCUACAAGCUUGAAGUUGGAACAGUCCAAGAAUCAGCUGAAAAAAAAAGGAAAAAGUUGAAGUCAAGAGCAAAAAGUACAGUCAAGGCAGAAAUAAAUUGAAAACAAUAGUAGAGGAGCUUACCAGAUUCGGGAAUGAUAUCCCAGAUGGGGUGGUGCAACGGUUCUAUUGAUCAAAGCCCCAACCCCCUAGAAACUAGUUUCAACAAGAUAUAUUAAGGAAAAGGACAAUGAAUCUUAACAAAAGCAAGAAGAGGGAGCUAUAGAGUGAAGUAGAUAGACAGAGCAAUGAUGAAAUACAUAAGGGAGAAAGAUGGAAGACCAUCCAAAGGAGAACACUGACUAGCUGGGAGUUUUGCCUACAACACUCCGACAACAUGCUUGAAAUGCGGCGGCCUUUGAGGAAAUGUAAAGAGGAAGAUUUGGAAAGGCUUAGUAGCAUUCUUAUAGUAG